UACGAAGGGGGCUAGCGUUGCUCGGAAUCACUGGGCGUAAAGCGCACGUAGGCGGAUUGCUAAGUCAGGGGUGAAAUCCUGGAGCUCAACUCCAGAACUGCCUUUGAUACUGGCGAUCUUGAGUCCGGGAGAGGUGAGUGGAACUGCGAGUGUAGAGGUGAAAUGCGCAGAUAUCAGGAAGAACACCCGUGGCGAAGGCGGCUCUCUGGGACGGUACUGACGCUGAGACGCGAAAGCGUGGGGAGCGAACAGG
rnacentral:rRNA from 1 species